GACUCUGAGUGGUGGAUCACUAGGCUCGUUUGUCGAUGAAGAACACAGCUAGCUGCAAGAAUUAAUGUGAAUUGCAGGACACAGUGAUCAUUGACACUUCAAACGCACUUUGCAGCCCCGGGUUAUCCUGGGGCUAUGCCUGUCUGAUGGUUG